GAGUUUGUAUAAAAGUUUUUUUUCCAUUGCUUAACAACAGUGGUCACAACUGAAGCCACAUUUGCAAAACUCUGACCACAGUGUGCAUAACCAACAGUCACCUGAACUAAACAGUUCACAAAACUC